rfam:Brassica napus, WGS project CCCW01000000 data, contig: 15150
GGACACGUGGCCUAAUGGAUAAGGUGUUUGACUUCUAAUCAAACGAUUGUUGGGUCGAGGCCCACCGGGCCUG